GACGAACGCUGGCGGCGUGCUUAACACAUGCAAGUCGAACGGAAAGGCCCUGCUUUUGUGGGGUGCUCGAGUGGCGAACGGGUGAGUAACACGUGAGUAACCUGCCCUUGACUUUGGGAUAACUUCAGGAAACUGGGGCUAAUACCGGAUAGGAGCUCCUGCUGCAGGGUGGGGGUUGGAAAGUUUCGGCGGUUGGGGAUGGACUCGCGGCUUAUCAGCUGGUUGGUGGGGUAGUGGCUUACCAAGGCUUUGACGGGUAGCCGGCCUGAGAGGGUGACCGGCCACAUUGCGACUGAGAUACGGCCCAGACUCCUACGUGAGGCAGCAGUGGCGAAUAUUGCCCAAUGGGCGGAAGCCUGAUGCAGCAACGCCGCGUGCGGGAUGACGGCCUUCGGGUUGUAAACCGCUUUCGCCUGUGACGCAGCGUGAGUGACGGUAAUGGGUAAAGAAGCACCGGCUAACUACGUG
rnacentral:rRNA from 1 species